CACGUAGGCGGACUAUUAAGUCAGGGGUGAAAUCCCGGGGCUCAACCCCGGAACUGCCUUUGGUACUGGUAGUCUCGAGUCCGGAAGAGGUGAGUGGAAUUCCGAGUGUAGAGGUGAAAUUCGUAGAUAUUCGGAGGAACACCAGUGGCGAAGGCGGCUCACUGGUCCGGUACUGACGCUGAGGUGCGAAAGCGUGGGGAGCAAACA
rnacentral:rRNA from 1 species